rnacentral:misc_RNA from 1 species
GCGUCAGAUGUGUAAAAGAGACAGGUGAAUCAUCGAAUCUUUGAACGCACAUUGCGCCCCUUGGUAUUCCGAGGGGCAUGCCUGUUCGAGCGUCAUAAUGACCACUCAAGCCUAGCUUGGUAUUGGAGCUCGCGGUCUCGCGGCUCUUAAAGUCAGUGGCGGUACCAUCUUGGCUCUAAGCGUAGUAACUAUUCUCGCUAUUGUGUCCGGUGGUUACUUGCCAAUAACCCCUAACUUCUAAGGUUGACCUCGGAUCAGGUAGGGAUACCCGCUGAACUUAAGCAUAUCAAUAAGCGGAGG